CUGCCAUCAUUGUUUUUUAGUAAUAUUAUACAAAGGAGGUAAAGCUUUCAGUCUUGAAAAUAAAGCAUGUAUCACAUGAGUCAUUUUGUUCCUUUUGUCUAUACACUACUACACUUCAUACCAAAUACAGUUUUUCAAUCCUUCUGCUGAGUCGAAUACCUGUGAUGUCCCUUAGCAAGUGCGUGCACAUUCAAGCACUUUAUUCCAGUAAGACAUCUGCUAAUGUUAGUGCCUUAACAUGGGCCAUUUCUGCUUAUAUUUGCUUAGGUAAGUGUUAUUAAUGCGCUUUAUGAGUU